GGGUAAUUGUACACGCGUCAUCAAAUUAUUCGUUCUUCCACACAUUAGGGGGCGCCCUGAACUAAAAACGGUCCGGAAAUACGAAGGAGAACGUUUUUUUUUUUUUUUUUUGUAUGUGUUGAUCGCCAACUAUGGUUGUUGUUAUCGUUCAGCCCUUGCAGCACCCAGGUCAUUAGGUACUACUUUUGCAAAGAUAACACAUUUCGUGACGGAAUGCGAAGCGGUAUAUGCUAUUUAACUCGCGUGAACGGUCAAAGAUACUUAAAAAGCUACUAAGCUAAGUCAUCAGUAAUACACCGUUUAGCGGUUUGAUCCAUUCGUAAUGCAUUGUACGGUGUCCUACCGGAGCGGCUGUCACUCAGUUGGUAGAGCGCAUCGUCCGGUGACCGAAGCGUCUUGGGUUUGAAUCCCGGUUCCGAUUGUCCGCUGUCGCGGUGUCCUUGGGCAAGACACAGAACCCUGAAUUGCCCCCAUUUGGCCUUACAGGGAAGCAGUCGCCAACUGGUGUAUGAAUGUGUGCGUGAAUGGGUGAAUAAGAGCGUCUGUUAAGCGAAUUUAGGCACCGUGAUGAUGUAAAUCUAGAUAAAUACACAUCAUUUACGAUUAACCACAGUAUUAUAUCGUUGGUGUAGAGUUUGAUAUGUAUCGGCUACCACCUUGAACCCUUGCGCAUCCAAAAACUGGACUGUAAUACUUACAGGCUGGAAAAUAUAAGCGGCUUGGUUGGUCCAUGAAGCAUAGGGAUUUCGAGUAAGUUCGAAGGACUCACGCACGUGAAAGAGGUCUUUGUUGAAGAAUGGAUCCAGUUGCCUGGGAAGACGCUUUUCUCUGUCAGCAGAGGAAUCUGAAUUCAGUUUACCCGAGAGACAUUCAUCAUAUGGGAGUGGCCGCACCUCAUAGCUCUCACAGUGAUCAUAGGGUAUUUGAUGGGGAGCCUCUGGAAGAUGACAUUGAUCCGGAGCUGACCAGAAAAAUGAAUGUGCUUCAAGAUAUAGAAGAGCAAAUAUUAAGCAAGAAAGCUGCCAUUCUUAUCAAGACAAUUAAAAUGAUUAAGAAGAAACUAACACCAGACUCGAAAGAUGCAACUCUUCGAGACAGGGUGGAUACGAUUUUGAAGGAGCGACAUUCUCUCAACUUUCUGUCAAAGUGCAAGACAUACGGGUCAUCUACUGAGAGUGAUGACUCUCCAAGUCAUAGCACAGAGCAGCUGGAAGAACAUCCCCUGAAGCUCAGAGUUGAGGCUUUAAUGAGGCAUAGGUUCAGUGACCCCAGUGGAUUUACAUCUAACAAGCUGGCCCCCAAUCGUGAAAUGGCCACCAUAUCCGGUACCCAACCUCCUCCCAGCCAUAGCAUUAGUUCAGAAAUCCAGCAAGAGAAUGUUUCCAACAAAGGCUUUGAGCGCUUCCUCAGCUUGCUCAACAAGGGAGUUGAUAUGGACCUGCUCAGUAGGGUCGUCAGUGAUAACAGUGAAGAUUUUCAUUUAGGUGAGCAGCUCUUCAACAGCCAGCACUCCGGUGUGGGGGAUGAUUCAGAUCGGCCUCUUUGCUGCGAGAGCCUUCAGUGCAACGGUGAACCGCAGCUACCAGAGAAUGGUGGAGAGAGGACAGCGCUCUCCACUAGCGAAGAGCACCCCAGGGAAAGACCCUCACUGCCGGACGAUGACAAGAACGGCAAAGACAAACGAGACCAUUCUUUAGGUUCCAGUAGUGGAUCCCAGUCUCCCCCGACAGUGGAGAAAACCAAGAAAGAUGGAAAAGAAAUGGUGCAGGUCGAUGAGCGGUGUGAACAACUCCAGAACAUUCUCAACACUUUGGGCUUGAGCUUGGAAAUCGAAGACUUGAGUAAACUAACAGACCGGACUCAAGAGAGGCUCUAUGGGAAAAAGAAUCAAAGAGAGCUAGUGGAGCAGCAGAGUCAAGUAACUACAAGUGGAUCCUGCAAACCUGACAUGAAAUCCACUUCCUCCUGCUCAUUGUCGCCUUCCAGAAGCCGUAGUCACAGUUCCUCUUCCAGCCAGCUCUCCCGCAGCAGGGAGCCUCAGGAUCCUCACAAGAAAGACACAUUGUUAGCAUGCGGUGGCGCAAGAAAAAGCAAAGAGAAAUUAUCACUUUCAUCGACAAGCCAAGAUGACACACAAGUACGGAAGACUGUUGGAAAAAACAAAGUUGCCAACAUCUUGAACGAAAUCCCUGUGGUUCAUUCCUAUUGUGAUCCUGCUACAUCGUUUGCUUUCCCAGAUGACAGUUUUCCCCAUUUCUCUCACUACCAUUCCACCUACAGCCACGACAUCAAUUCUUAUUGGACAAGCACUCCGGAUGCCAGUGUCACCCCAUAUUAUCCCAGUCGUUAUCCUGAUUCAACGGACACCUACGACUCCCACGACACUAUUCCCUCAGGAAAACGAAGGCCCCGCUUCAUUCAAGAUGUUCCCCUCGAGAAUCCAGACCUGUCAACAAGUGAAGGUCAAUUGGGCUCGGUUUCUCGUCCGAGGUAUCUGCAGGUGGUCAAGAGGAAGCCACAAAUGUGGGGUGGUAAAAGGUUAUUGAAUGGGGAGCAAAUCAAGGAAGACAAAACCAAAAGGCUAAACCUGAUAGAGGAACAGGCACGAGAUGUGCAGACGUUGAGGGCUCAUCGAGCGACGAAAGCUUCUGGGAAGAAGGCGGGUCGGAAAGAUGGCUCAAAGAAACAACGAACACCAACAGAGGAGGAAAUUAAGGCAAACUGGAGAAAAAAAGUUGGAAGCAUUUAACCAGAUGUCAAAGAACAAGUCUCGUGCCCAACCAAGUCCCUGUCCUGACACACAGAUGUAUGACGUUGGACUGUGAACCCUGACAACAGUUGGAUGAAAUGGUCAAAAUCUGGUUUUGAAUGCAAUGAUUCCUGAACAAAAAAAAAACAACAUGUUUUACAGUUGACAGUAAAUACAGUUUUGUUUUGUUUUGUUUUUUGCCACUCAGGACAGAUUACAAAUCGCAUCAUGAAUUUGCUGAAUCAGUGGUUCUCAAUCCUUUAAGGGCCUCGACACACCAAUCCGAUGUCGGCAGUCGGGAAGUCGGUGUGCAACAUCUGCUUGGUGUAGGGCGCACCGUCAUAACUUGGAGCUGUUGUCGGGGCGUUUUGGGACGGCAUCAGGCUGUCCUGACAAAUGAUCACUCUGAUUCACUGUUAGCUUACAAAUCAGUGAACAGGACACACAAAAGUGAUGUACGCAAACAAACAGCAAAGAAGUUCGGCGGAUGCUACAGUCCGUCACGUUGGCAAACAUCGGAUUGGUGUGUCCGCACCCAUUUGUUCACAAAACGUGCAUACGAAAUCACGAGUAACUUGUGCACAAAACGUGCACACGAAAUCAUGAGUAAUUCUUAGAGCACGAUGAGAUUUAUGAACGAGUGAUUGAGAAAACUAAGGCGGAAACAAGUGGAAGACCGAAGUUAAGAUGCGCUGGCAUCAUACAAGUCAAAAGUGUGGCUACAGUUCGGAUUUUAUGGUAGGCCCAAAGCUGAAGAAGAACUUUGCUCAAUGCAAGAAUUGUCUUAAUAAAAUAAGGUAAACUGGAAGCACGACAAAUAUGCACAGCCACUUGUGACAGGAUCACCCAGGGCUAGUAGUGAGCCAAAAAGCCGCUAUCAGCUUUCCUCCUGGCCAGACCAGCAUGGGUUCUCUACUUCAAGCAAAGCUCCCCUUCAAUCCCCCCCGGGGCUAAGUCAAUCACGCACAGCAUCUCUUUGUGUAUGUGCAAAGCUCUCCGCCCGCACAGCGUAGUUGAGAAUGAUGGUGUUCGCUACAUGAUGCACACUCUGGAGCCACUCUAUGAACGG